UCCUCUCAGCGCUCAAUCCCGGCGAGUGCAGGCAUCACUGAAGACCUGACACCGGCGGAAUCGGACGUCCACUGUCCUCGGCAGAAUUAACCAGGUGUUAUCUUAUGCAAACUUUAUCGCCGUCAGAUGAAGAUGACCAUACCGGCGAUGAGGAUGAGCGCGCUUCGGCGGAGGAGCAGACUUUUUUCCGUCUCCAAACGAGCGGAGAGGCGCAGGGGCGAGACAAUAACGCCCAGAAGUUAUUGAAAUGAAUCGAGCUGGCAUAAGAAGAAGAAACAAAAGGGGCGCUAGCAGCGUUAGCCUUGACCGCAGAGGGAAGCACGGGAAGCAGAAGAGCAAACAAGGAAAACACAAGAGCGAUGAAAGAGAGGUCCAGACAUGAAGGAGGCACGCAUUCACAGACACACGUACAACGGCACCUAGAGUCUGUCUGCGGUCUACACCACCCUGCCACACACACACAUAUACACACACAAACACACGCACAUGCCUGUUACGGUAAGAAUCAGAGACCACCGAGUUAGGGGGACAAUAAUAGUGUGAAUGUGAGAAAACAAACUCAUUAUCCACUGCUAUUUUCUUCUCUGAGUAAUUUAAAGACAAAUUGACUACUUGGAUUCCAAAGUGCUCUAAAUUCAGUAAUUAAAUAAAUAAAAUAAGAAUAUAAAAUAAAUUAGCUAAAUUCAGUCAUUUAACUUCUGAAAAGUAGCUUCUCGGUGCUGGUAAAUAAACAAUGAAAAGAACGUCUUUCAAUCAAAUUCGGAUGUCUCAUUUUGAGCAAAUCUUAAUUUAUGCAGUUCCAUUUUAAUUUUAAUUGUGUGUGUCUGCUGUCAUGCAUGCCAUUUCUAGUGUGUCUGCAUGUGUGUGUGUGCACAAAGCCUGCUUCGUUUUUUGUUUUUUUCUAUUUCCAUCAGUCGAAACCAAUCUCCACAACUCAAGUUUAACAGCUGCACCACAUAUCCCACAAACCCCCACGUCCAACCCCCCCCUUACCCACCCUGUGCCCCUCCCAGGC